CUUUUCUUUUUUAAACUUUAAUCAAAUACCAUAUCAAAUAUCAAAAUAUCAUAUACUAAAAUUUUUAAUUUCGAUAUGAUAAUUCGAUAUUUACCAAAUUAUGCCUGAUCCUACUCUUCACAUUAUAGAAAAUAAAAAGAAGACAAAACCAAAACCUAAAACAUGUUAAGUGGUCCCUAAUUAAUAAAGUUUUUUUGUACCUUCCGUCUUUACCAGCUAUGAUAACUAAGUAAUCCAUUUCCUUAUAAAUAUUCCUCCAUUUUGCUCCCAAACUCUUAAUUCACCCUCCUCCUCCUCUUUUCUUUGAUUUUUGCUAUGUUCUUCUCCUUUCGUAAUUUCAAGAGUGGAAAUUGUUGCAUGGGAAUGAAGGAAGGAGCAAUAAGAGCAGGAGAAGGAUGAGUUAAAGAAUAUGCAGCUCUUAGGCAAGUCUGAUACUUGGCUUAAUUCCAUUUUCAAUUUGACACACUCUUUUUCUUUGGCCUCAUAUCAUUCCUUUUUUUCUUCACAAUUUAUAAGCUUGGUUCUUUGGUUGUCACGAAAGGGGAAACAAGACAAGAAAGAAGAAAUAGUAGAGGGUUAUAAUUAAGGAAAUGGUCUCUUGUAUUAUUUGUUGUGACAAAGCAACCAAAGACUGAGAAAUCUUCGGAAGGUUUUGUGUUUUCUUUUGAUUUCUUUUCUUUGUAAACUCAAAUUUCUGUUUAAAAGUCUGCAAACUCACAAUUCCGAUGUUCUCUUUAACUUUUGCUCCACUUUCUAGAAGAAAAAACACACACACACACACAUAUAUAUAUAUAUAUGGGUCCACUACCCCUUCCCAUUUCCUUUUUGUUAUUAGUUUUACCUCUUUAAAGAGGGUAAUUUGAUAACCAUUGAACUUAUAUACACCAAUAAUAUAAUAAAAGUUUAUAUUAUCAAUUAGUGCAAUUUAACUUGAUAUUAGAAAUAUAAAAAAUUGUUUAUUUGUUUUUAUUGUUUCUUAAAAUUAAUAUUCUCACAUUCAUUGUUACUAUGUAUAUUUCAAAGGAUGCCAUGUAUUUUAGAAUUUUAAGGAUGAAUAACAAGAUGAUUUUGUGAAAUCCUAUCUUGGAGAAAACUUGAGAAAAAAGUAAGACCGUAAAUAAUAAUAUUAGAAAAUUAGUUGAAUUUAUUGAUUGUUGUAACUUACUGAGCUUUAUGCAUGUUAGUUGUACUAAUAAUUAUGAGCUACAUGAUCAAGGGAGUGUUAGGUGUGGUGCCUUUUCAAGUGUAGCAAUAGUUCCACUUAGGGCUAAAGUUUGUGAUAUUUUAAUUAUAAAGUAUAGGAGUUUGUUGACAAUUAUUUAGGGGCGGCUAAGGAAUG
rnacentral:lncRNA from 1 species